CCCGCCCCUCCCCGGUGCUGCUCGGCCCCGCCCCGUCGCCGCCGCCGCCCUUUGUCCGUGGAUGCGCGGCGGGGCCGGUCCGGUGCGGCGGGGCCGGGUGGGAGCUCCAUGCGGGGGUCGCCGUUAUGGGGCAGAUCUUGGGCUUCGCCCACUGCAAGGAUGCUCCAUCCACGGCUUCCACCACACCGGAUUCCACGGAGGGUGGCAACGAGGAGGCAGAAUUCCCCGAGCUGCAAACGGCGGAGCCCCCCGAGAAAGAAGAGGAGGAUGAGGAUGAAAGGGGGGGGGGGACCCCAACCUUCCCCCCACGAACUCACCUUCUCCUAUAUUGCCUUUAGAGGGGAGGGGGGAGGACCCUCCGCUCACCGGGACUCCCGUCGAGGGGGGCGCCACCCCCCCCCCACCCCCACCCCCCGCCGGAAUUUGGGGUCCCCCCGGGGUAC